GUAAUUCACCCUUCUCUCACU
rnacentral:miRNA from 1 species